UACGUAGGGUGCAGGCGUUAAUCGGAAUUACUGGGCGUAAAGCGUGCGCAGGCGGUUUGCUAAGACAGAUGUGAAAUCCCCGGGCUUAACCUGGGAACUGCAUUUGUGACUGCAUGGCUGGAGUGCGGCAGAGGGGGAUGGAAUUCCGCGUGUAGCAGUGAAAUGCGUAGAUAUGCGGAGGAACACCGGUGGCGAAGGCGGUCCCCUGGGCCUGCACUGACGCUCAGGCGCGAAAGCGUGGGGAGCAAACAGG
rnacentral:rRNA from 1 species